AACGAACGCUGGCGGCAUGCCUAACACAUGCAAGUCGAACGAUGCCUUCGGGCCUAGUGGCGCACGGGUGCGUAACGCGUGGGAAUCUGCCUUUCGGUUCGGAAUAACUCAGGGAAACUUGAGCUAAUACCGGGUAACGUCGCAAGACCAAAGAUUUAUCACCGAAAGAUGAGCCCGCGUAGGAUUAGCUAGUUGGUGAGGUAAAGGCUCACCAAGGCGACGAUCCUUAGCUGGUCUGAGAGGAUGAUCAGCCACACUGGGACUGAGACACGGCCCAGACUCCUACGGGAGGCAGCAGUGGGGAAUAUUGGACAAUGGGCGAAAGCCUGAUCCAGCAAUGCCGCGUGAGUGAUGAAGGCCUUAGGGUUGUAAAGCUCUUUUACCCGGGAAGAUAAUGACGGUACCGGGAGAAUAAGCCCCGGCUAACUCCGUG
rnacentral:rRNA from 1 species